UACGAAGGGGGCUAGCGUUGCUCGGAAUCACUGGGCGUAAAGCGCACGUAGGCGGAUCUUUAAGUCAGAGGUGAAAUCCCAAGGCUCAACCUUGGAACUGCCUUUGAUACUGGGGAUCUCGAGUCCGGAAGAGGUGAGUGGAACUGCGAGUGUAGAGGUGAAAUUCGUAGAUAUUCGGAAGAACACCAGUGGCGAAGGCGGCUCACUGGUCCGGUACUGACGCUGAGGAGCGAAAGCGUGGGGAGCGAACAGG
rnacentral:rRNA from 1 species